GCCGAGGUAGCCUAAUCGGUAUGGCGCCUGUCUGAAAAACAGGUGGGCCCAUCCAAGCCCUUGUGGGUUCAAGGCUUUUGAGUGGGGAAGUGAAUCUCCCGCCCUCGGCG
rnacentral:tRNA from 1 species